rfam:Pseudomonas syringae pv. tomato str. DC3000, complete genome.
GGUCAAGUGAAGAAGCGCAUACGGUGGAUGCCUUGGCAGUCAGAGGCGAUGAAAGACGUGGUAGCCUGCGAAAAGCUUCGGGGAGUCGGCAAACAGACUGUGAUCCGGAGAUGUCUGAAUGGGGGAACCCAGCCAUCAUAAGAUGGUUAUCUUACACUGAAUACAUAGGUGUAAGAGGCGAACCAGGGGAACUGAAACAUCUAAGUACCCUGAGGAAAAGAAAUCAACCGAGAUUCCCUUAGUAGUGGCGAGCGAACGGGGACCAGCCCUUAAGUUGUAUUGAGAUUAGCGGAACGCUCUGGAAAGGGCGGCCAUAGUGGGUGAUAGCCCUGUACGCGAAAAUCCCUUUGCAAUGAAAUCGAGUAGGACGGGGCACGAGAAACCUUGUCUGAAUAUGGGGGGACCAUCCUCCAAGGCUAAAUACUACUGACUGACCGAUAGUGAACCAGUACCGUGAGGGAAAGGCGAAAAGAACCGCGGAGAGCGGAGUGAAAUAGAUCCUGAAACCGUAUGCGUACAAGCAGUGGGAGCCCACUUUGUUGGGUGACUGCGUACCUUUUGUAUAAUGGGUCAGCGACUUAUUUUCAGUGGCGAGCUUAACCGAAUAGGGGAGGCGUAGCGAAAGCGAGUCUUAAUAGGGCGUCUAGUCGCUGGGAAUAGACCCGAAACCGGGCGAUCUAUCCAUGGGCAGGUUGAAGGUUGGGUAACACUAACUGGAGGACCGAACCGACUACCGUUGAAAAGUUAGCGGAUGACCUGUGGAUCGGAGUGAAAGGCUAAUCAAGCUCGGAGAUAGCUGGUUCUCCUCGAAAGCUAUUUAGGUAGCGCCUCAUGUAUCACUGUAGGGGGUAGAGCACUGUUUCGGCUAGGGGGUCAUCCCGACUUACCAAACCGAUGCAAACUCCGAAUACCUACAAGUGCCGAGCAUGGGAGACACACGGCGGGUGCUAACGUCCGUCGUGAAAAGGGAAACAACCCAGACCGUCAGCUAAGGUCCCAAAGUCAUGGUUAAGUGGGAAACGAUGUGGGAAGGCUUAGACAGCUAGGAGGUUGGCUUAGAAGCAGCCACCCUUUAAAGAAAGCGUAAUAGCUCACUAGUCGAGUCGGCCUGCGCGGAAGAUGUAACGGGGCUCAAACCAUGCACCGAAGCUACGGGUAUCAUCUUUUGAUGAUGCGGUAGAGGAGCGUUCUGUAAGCCUGUGAAGGUGAGUUGAGAAGCUUGCUGGAGGUAUCAGAAGUGCGAAUGCUGACAUGAGUAACGACAAUGGGUGUGAAAAACACCCACGCCGAAAGACCAAGGUUUCCUGCGCAACGUUAAUCGACGCAGGGUUAGUCGGUCCCUAAGGCGAGGCUGAAAAGCGUAGUCGAUGGAAAACAGGUUAAUAUUCCUGUACUUCUGGUUAUUGCGAUGGAGGGACGGAGAAGGCUAGGCCAGCCUGGCGUUGGUAGUCCAGGUUUAAGGUGGUAGGCUGAGAUCUUAGGUAAAUCCGGGAUCUUAAGGCCGAGAGCUGAUGACGAGUGUUCUUUUAGAACAUGAAGUGGUUGAUGCCAUGCUUCCAAGAAAAGCUUCUAAGCUUCAGGUAACCAGGAACCGUACCCCAAACCGACACAGGUGGUUGGGUAGAGAAUACCAAGGCGCUUGAGAGAACUCGGGUGAAGGAACUAGGCAAAAUGGCACCGUAACUUCGGGAGAAGGUGCGCCGGUGAGGGUGAAGCAUUUACUGCGUAAGCCCACGCCGGUCGAAGAUACCAGGCCGCUGCGACUGUUUAUUAAAAACACAGCACUCUGCAAACACGAAAGUGGACGUAUAGGGUGUGACGCCUGCCCGGUGCCGGAAGGUUAAUUGAUGGGGUUAGCGCAAGCGAAGCUCUUGAUCGAAGCCCCGGUAAACGGCGGCCGUAACUAUAACGGUCCUAAGGUAGCGAAAUUCCUUGUCGGGUAAGUUCCGACCUGCACGAAUGGCGUAACGAUGGCGGCGCUGUCUCCACCCGAGACUCAGUGAAAUUGAAAUCGCUGUGAAGAUGCAGUGUAUCCGCGGCUAGACGGAAAGACCCCGUGAACCUUUACUAUAGCUUUGCACUGGACUUUGAAUUUGCUUGUGUAGGAUAGGUGGGAGGCUUUGAAGCGUGGACGCCAGUCUGCGUGGAGCCAACCUUGAAAUACCACCCUGGCAACUUUGAGGUUCUAACUCAGGUCCGUUAUCCGGAUCGAGGACAGUGUAUGGUGGGUAGUUUGACUGGGGCGGUCUCCUCCUAAAGAGUAACGGAGGAGUACGAAGGUGCGCUCAGACCGGUCGGAAAUCGGUCGUAGAGUAUAAAGGCAAAAGCGCGCUUGACUGCGAGACAGACACGUCGAGCAGGUACGAAAGUAGGUCUUAGUGAUCCGGUGGUUCUGUAUGGAAGGGCCAUCGCUCAACGGAUAAAAGGUACUCCGGGGAUAACAGGCUGAUACCGCCCAAGAGUUCAUAUCGACGGCGGUGUUUGGCACCUCGAUGUCGGCUCAUCACAUCCUGGGGCUGAAGCCGGUCCCAAGGGUAUGGCUGUUCGCCAUUUAAAGUGGUACGCGAGCUGGGUUUAGAACGUCGUGAGACAGUUCGGUCCCUAUCUGCCGUGGACGUUUGAGAUUUGAGAGGGGCUGCUCCUAGUACGAGAGGACCGGAGUGGACGAACCUCUGGUGUUCCGGUUGUCACGCCAGUGGCAUUGCCGGGUAGCUAUGUUCGGAAAAGAUAACCGCUGAAAGCAUCUAAGCGGGAAACUUGCCUCAAGAUGAGAUCUCACUGGAACCUUGAGUUCCCUGAAGGGCCGUCGAAGACUACGACGUUGAUAGGUUGGGUGUGUAAGCGCUGUGAGGCGUUGAGCUAACCAAUACUAAUUGCCCGUGAGGCUUGACCAU